UACGGAGGGUGCGAGCGUUGUCCGGAAUCAUUGGGCGUAAAGGGCGCGUAGGUGGCCUGGUCAGCGUGCGGUGAAAGCCUGGGGCUCAACCCCGGGUCGGCCGUGCGAACUGCUGGGCUUGAGCACUGUAGAGGCAGGCGGAAUUCCGGGUGUAGCGGUGGAAUGCGUAGAGAUCCGGAAGAACACCGGUGGCGAAGGCGGCCUGCUGGGCAGUAGCUGACACUGAGGCGCGACAGCGUGGGGAGCAAACAGG
rnacentral:rRNA from 1 species